UACGAGAGGCCCAAACGUUAUUCGGAAUUACUGGGCUUAAAGAGUUCGUAGGCGGCGCAGAAAGUAGGGUGUGAAAGCCCUCGGCUCAACCGAGGAAUUGCGCUCUAAACUACUGUGCUUGAGGAAGCUAGAGGUGAGCGGAACUGAUGGUGGAGCGGUGAAAUGCGUUGAUAUCAUCAGGAACACCGGAGGCGAAGGCGGCUCACUGGGGCUUUUCUGACGCUAAGGAACGAAAGCCAGGGGAGCGAACGGG
rnacentral:rRNA from 1 species